UACGAAGGGGGCUAGCGUUGCUCGGAAUUACUGGGCGUAAAGGGCGCGUAGGCGGAUAUCUAAGUUGGGGGUGAAAUCCCGGGGCUCAACCUCGGAAUUGCCUUCAAAACUGGAUAUCUUGAGUUCGGGAGAGGUGAGUGGAACUCCGAGUGUAGAGGUGAAAUUCGUAGAUAUUCGGAAGAACACCAGUGGCGAAGGCGACUCACAGGCCCGAUACUGACGCUGAGGCGCGAAAGCGUGGGGAGCAAACAGG
rnacentral:rRNA from 1 species